CCGGCUCCGGUUCACGUCCGCGCACCCGCGCCCUGACGACCCGGCGGCC
ncrna:unclassified sequences L31-Actinobacteria ribosomal protein leader